UACGGAGGAUGCGAGCGUUAUCCGGAUUUAUUGGGUUUAAAGGGUGCGCAGGCGGAUUUUUAAGUCAGCGGUCAAAUCGUGGGGCUCAACCCCAUCCAGCCGUUGAAACUGGGGAUCUAGAGUGUGCGAGAGGUAUGCGGAAUGCGUGGUGUAGCGGUGAAAUGCAUAGAUAUCACGAAGAACCCCGAUUGCGAAGGCAGCCUGCCGCAGCGUUACUGACGCUGAAGCUCGAAAGCGCGGGUAUCGAACAGG
rnacentral:rRNA from 1 species